CUACGGGGCGCAGCAGUGAGGAAUAUUGCACAAUGGGGGAAACCCUGAUGCAGCAACGCCGCGUGGAGGAUGACGCAUUUCGGUGUGUAAACUCCUUUUAUAUGUCAAGAAAAUGACGGUAGCAUAUGAAUAAGCACCGGCUAACUCCGUGCCAGCAGCCGCGGUAAUACGGAGGGUGCAAGCGUUACUCGGAAUCACUGGGCGUAAAGGACGCGUAGGCUGGUUGGUAAGUCAGGUGUGAAAUCCUACAGCUUAACUGUAGAACUGCACUUGAAACUACCAACCUAGAGUAUGGGAGGGGGAGAUGGAAUUAGUGGUGUAGGGGUAAAAUCCGUAGAUAUCACUAGGAAUACCUAAAGCGAAGGCGAUCUCCUGGAACAUUACUGACGCUAAGGCGUGAAAGCGUGGGGAGCAAACAGGAUUAGAUACCCGCGUAGUC
rnacentral:rRNA from 1 species